UGGUGGAGUGAUCUGUCUGGUUAAUUCCGAUAACGAACGAGACCUCAACCUGCUAAAUAGUUAUCGGGAUGGUUUCGCAUGGGUGAAGCGUUGGGGACGGGAAGGUUGGGGCCGGUCGGGAAACCGGUCGGUUCUGGCCUUUCGCUCGGCGUGGAUCCCGAACGCAUCCCGAUGCGGUGGAGGCGGCGCGGUGCAAGCCGUGCCGUCGACCCAUCGUGCGUCGCUCGCGAUCGUAACUUCUUAGAGGGACUGUUUGGGUUAUACCAAACGGAAGUUUGAGGCAAUAACA
rnacentral:rRNA from 1 species